rnacentral:rRNA from 1 species
AAGUGCACUAUAGGCCUAUCUAUAGUGCACUAUAGAUAAGCGUGCUUGGGCGAGAGUAGUACUGGGAUAGGUGACCUCCUGGGAAGUCCUCGUGUUGCACCCC